ensembl:lncRNA
GCAGGUGAGGCCGCUGCCGGGGUCCCCCGGGACCGAAGGGGACUCUUUGGGGGUCCUCGGGGACAAUCACAGGAAGCGAUCCUCCGGAAGAAGCUGGACAGGAGGACUUCUUGAACAAACCUGGGGGUUCUUUCUGGAGGCUGCUCCAGGGUCUGCUCUUCCGGCCCUCUGCCCUCGGGCGGGAGCCUGAGCUCCUCAAGAAAGCACCGCUCCUCUCUUGGGGCCCUUGAGGGCCCCUAGGGGCCCCAGCCCGAGGUGGCACCCAGAGGACUUCUGCCCUUCAGGGGAACCAAGCCUAUUCACAGCCCGGAGGACCUGAGCUUCACCCCACACCCGCCUGUAGAUGAGCGGUGAUCUAGGGCCGGUCUACGAGACAAGGCUCCGGCUCUCGGGGAGUCGGCCUCUCUCCACGUUGGCCCACCCACCGCCAGGACGAAAGAAACAACCACGCG